AUUUUAUCCCCAUAAACCAAGUUCACACACUCAGUUAAUGAGCCUGUAUUCCGAUAGAGGGCUUAAAUUCUGUUUUCCUCUGAUUCCUUCUUCCAACAGAGGCCACUUAAGCAAGAUUCCUGCUCAUGGAACACUAUAUAGGAAAUAUUUCUGCAAUUUUCUGUUUGGCACAGAUAAUAUGAUUUUCCUACAUAUUUUUGUGUUUGUAUUUAUCGAUUGCUUCUUCAUAUGCCAAAAAUUGUGUAAUAUCAUCUUCUACAAGGAGAAUAGAAGGAUCGUUUAGAAUUUCCUCAAGGGCAGAGGUUGGUAAACUGCAGCGUGAGGCCACUGCUGUUUUUGUAAAUAAAGUUUUAUUAGAACACACAAAAAAUAAAAAUA
rnacentral:lncRNA from 1 species